GCACUCUAGCCUGGGUAACACAGUGAGACUGUCUAAAAACAAAUAAAUAAUAAAUUUAAAGAAAUGUAUAAAGUACUAAUAACCCACUCAUCAUGCAAUAAUCUUUACUUCAAUGCACUUGAGGGCCUACCACAAGCCAGUCAUUGCCCUGAACAAUGGAGAUAAAUAGGUGAACAUGACAGAUAAGGUCCUGCUCUCAUGAAUCAUACAUUCUAACAGGGGAGACACAACUAUAUAACGUAAGCUAGUGAUACACAACUAUAUAAUGAAAGGUUAGCUAGUGAUAAACACUAUAAAGAAAAAUCACAGUAAAGCUGAGGUUGGGUGGGCUGUGUGGGUGGCUAUUUCACAGGGUGAUCAAAGAAGGUCUUCUAAAAAAGGCGACAUUUUACUGAGAUUUAAUGAAACAAAGCAUCUGAGUCAUAUGCAAAUAUCAGCAGGAAGAGUUUUCCAGGCAAAAGAGCAAACUGGAAGAAGCAAAAUGGGACCUUGCUGGACAGAUUCAAGAAACUAUGUGGUGGUGGCACAGUAACUGAAGGAUGGUCGUAGGAAAUGAAGUCAACUCACUAGAUAAAAUAACAGGAUUAGUCAAAAAAGAGUGAUUACAGGUAACUUCUACUACAUACAAUUUCUGUCCUGUAACCUAACUUAGUUUGACCUGACACUUUACUGUAAAUAAACUAACAUAGCAUUAUCCC